ACGCCAUUGCUGGAGUCAGCGUAGUUGGAGUCAGCACAACCGUCGCAGGCACAGGCAGUCCUAGUGAUGAAGGCUCAGGUACAGUAGAUCAGGCACCAGUGCAGCGAAGCUAUUCCUUAUAUCAAUCUGCUCUGAAUCUCUUGCAGACGCUGAAUCCGCUUAGCAGCAUGCUGCUGCCUUCAGUUUCCACAACUUGUGACAUGGGACCUGCGCUGAUUGGAAUAAUCCUCUUGCUGAUCUCCAUCUACUACACUACAAGUUGGAGGAGGAGAAGCAGAUGGAGACAACUUCGUUGGCAGACAAGUUCCAGCUGAAGCCUGCAGACUGAAGAAGGUGUCAGACAUGGCGUGUCCUUUUCUUGAAGAGCCAGUUGAUAUUGAAGCACAAAUACUCCGCAGAGUAAUGUGACUCUUGCACUGAAGCGUUUACUGUACACAUUUGUGGUGUUCCCAAGUCACAGACCCACACGACUCAGAGUUCUAGGUAUCAGUCUAAGCAAUAAUUUAUUUAGUAUGAAGCUUGGGGACUUGAAGCACUAAUCAGUUAAUUUGAUAUAUUUUAGGGUUUCCCGGUGUGAUUGGCUGCAUAGAUGGUACUCAUAUUCCUACCACAGCUCCUUCAGUAAAUGAAGGAGAUUACGUGAAUAGGAAGUCUUUCCACAGCAUUAAUGUGCAGGUAGGCCUCAAUAGUAGCCUUAAGUAUUCCAAAUGAAAUAUACUUCACAAUACAGCUACUACAACUAAUUAGUGUUCUGCACUGUGAAGAUCAUAUGUGAUGCAGCCUAUAUCAUCAGCAAUGUGGAAGCAAAGUGGCCUGGGUAUGACUCGCACGUUUUUGUGAUUGUACACUGACCGCUAGAUUUGCCCAUGGUGAGUUAUACAUCUGUGUCCUAUUAUAAUACAUUUUGUUUCCUCCUAUUGCAACUGAAAAUGUAAACUUGUAUGAUCAUAGGAGAAUUUGAUGGUUACCUGCUCAGUGACAGAGGGUACCCCUGCCAGCCCUUUUGCUGACCCCUUACCCUGAUCCUGAGCCCAUCCCGCAGCAACGUUAUAACUUGGCUCACUGCAGGACACGAGCCAGGGUAGAGAUGACCAUUGGGAUGCUCAAGGCCCAGUUCCAGUUUCUUCGUAGGCUCAGGGUCACCCCACUAGCCUGUUCAACCUCUCUUUCAUGUAGUCUGAGAUUCCCAAAGAUUGGAAAGCAGCUGCGUUCAUCCCCCUCUUCAAAGUGGGGGAGACACUCUUGACCCAAACUGCUACAGACCUAUAUCUAUCCUACCAUGCCUUUCUAAGGUCUUCGAAAGCCAAGUCAACAAACAGAUUACCGACUAUUUCGAAUCCCACCAUACCUUCUCCGCUAUGCAAUCUGGUUUCAGAGCUGGUCAUGGGUGCACCUCAGCCACGCUCAAGGUCCUAAACGAUAACUUAACCGCCAUCGAUAAGAAACAAUACUGUGCAGCCGUAUUCAUUGACCUGGCAAAGGCUUUCGACUCUGUCAAUCACCACAUCCUCAUCAGCAGACUCGAUAGCCUUGGUUUCUCAAAUGAUUGCCUCGCCUGGUUCACCAACUAUUUCUCUGAUAGAGUUCAGUGUGUCAAAUCGGAGGGCCUGUUGUCCGGGCCUCUGGCAGUCUCUAUGGGGGUGCCACAGGGUUCAAUUCUUGGACCGACUCUCUUCUCUGUAUACAUCAAUGAUGUCGCUCUUGCUGCUGGGAAGUCUCUGAUCCACCUCUACGCAGACGACACCAUUCUGUAUACUUCUGGCCCUUCUUUGGACUCUGUUAACAACCCUCCAGACGAGCUUCAAUGCCAUACAACUCUCCUUGCGUGGCCUCCAAUUGCUCUUAAAUACAAGUAAAACUAAAUGCAUGCUCUUCAACCGAUCGCUGCCUGCACCUGCCCGCCCGUCCAACAUCACUACUCUGGACGGUUCUGUCUUAGAAUAUGUGGACAACUACAAAUACCUAGGUGUCUGGUUAGACUAAACUCUUCUUCCAGACUCACAUCAAACAUCUCCAAUCCAAAGUAAAAUCUAGAAUUGGCUUCCUAUUUCGCAACAAAGCCUCCUUCACUCAUGCUGCCAAACAUACCCUUGUAAAACUGACCAUCCUACCGAUCCUCGACGACGUCAUUUACAAAAUAGCCUCCAAUACCCUACUCAAUAAAUUGGAUGCAGUCUAUCACAUUGCCAUCUGUUUUGUCACCAAAGCCCCAUAUACUACCCACCACUGCAACCUGUACACUCUCGUUGGCUGGCCCUCGCUUCAUACUCGUCACCAAACCCACUGGCUCCAGGUCAUCUACAAGACCCUGUAGGUAAAGUCCCCCCUUAUCUCACCUCGCUGGUCACCAUAGCAGCACCCACCUGUAGCACGCGCUCCAGCAGGUAUAUCUCUCUGGUCACCCCCAAAACCAAUUCUUACUUUGGCUGCCUCGCCUUCCAGUUCUCUGCUGCCAAUGACUGGAACGAACUGCAAAGAAAAAAUCUCAAACUGGAAACACUUAUCCCCCUCACUAGCUUUAAGCACCAGCUGUCAGAGCAGCUCACAUAUUACGGCACCUGUACAUAGCCCAAACUACUACUGGUCCCCUACUGUAUUUAUUUAGCUCAUUUGCACCCCCAUUAUUUCUCUACUUUGCACAUUCUUCCACUGCAAAUCUACCAUUCCAGUGUUGACUUUUUUACUUGCUAUAUUGUAUUUACUUCGCCACCAUGGCCUUUACCUCCCUUAUCCCACCUCAUUUGCUCACAUUGUAUAUAGACUAAAUUUCUCUACUGUAUGUUUGUUUUACGCCAUGUGUAACUUGUGUCGAACUGCUCUGCUUUAUCUUGGCCAGGUCGCAAUUGUAAAUGAGAACUUGUUCUCAACUUGCCUACCUGGUUAAAUAAAGGUGAAAUAAAAUAAUACAUUUAAAAAAGGGUGUGUGACAUGUUGUGGAGAAUCACACAUUAGAGAACAAUGUCCUACUCAGUGAAUGAUCCUGACCACCCCGCUGACGCACGAGAUGGAAGAGCAGUCAGAGGCACAAUAUGCUGCCAUCAUUUCUGAUUGACCCAUCACCUCCCCAGUGUCAAAUAAAUACAGUAUUCCUUUUUAUGAAGUCUUCUUUAUUUUCUGCAAGUACAAAUGCAGGACAGUAGUUAAUAUUUUUUAUGUUGUUCAAACAUAAAACUGAUUUUCCAGCAGUUGUAUUUCUAUUUUUAUCUUUUGCAUCUGCAGCCUUGUGGUCAAUUUCUAGAUUUCAUUUUUCAAUUUGUUUCUCUAAGUACACCUUGCACAGUGGUUUCACACAGAGCUAUAGGAACACAAAAAAUGACAUUAAGUUUCACAGUGCCAGGUCUACUUGGGUUCAUUGUAAGUCAUGGGCCAAUGCUGAACAACAUCUUACUGAGGUAAGUUGAACCAUGGAGGUGGAUGGACCCUCUUCCUCAUUGUAAUUUACAGAAUUGCUCUGCCAGAGAAAAAUAAGGUGCAAGUUCAACUAUGGUAGAACACUUUCAACAGUUAGCUGUUAUUUAAGGUGUAAA